AGGAUGAACAAUUGUAUAAGGGAUACUAAUGAAGAUGAGUUUUCAGAUAUAAAGAUCAGAUAUAAAGUCACUCCACGUGACAUAUUAUGACUGACAUGAUUUGCCACAAGGUUUAUGAAUUAUUAAUGAGUAUUUUAAGGUUAUAUACAGGGUGAGUAAAAAAACUGAUACCUUUAUUAUUAUUAUUAUUAUUAUAAAAUGGUUUAUUUGCAUAUUAUCGCAUUGAAAAUGAAUUACAAUAUGUUUACAUGGAAAUAUACUAAAAUUUACAAAAAUGCUAAAAUAUGAAUUACUAUAUCUAAUAUAAAUGUUAAAACCUAAUAUAUAUACAAG